rnacentral:rRNA from 1 species
UACGUAGGGUGCGAGCGUUAAUCGGAAUUACUGGGCGUAAAGCGUGCGCAGGCGGUUUGGCAAGUCAGAUGUGAAAGCCCCGGGCUCAACCUGGGAACUGCGUUUGAAACUACCAAGCUAGAGUCUGUCAGAGGGGGGUAGAAUUCCACGUGUAGCAGUGAAAUGCGUAGAGAUGUGGAGGAAUACCGAUGGCGAAGGCAGCCCCCUGGGAUAAGACUGACGCUCAGGCACGAAAGCGUGGGGAGCAAACAGG